UGCGGGGUGGAGCAGCUAGGUAGCUCGCCAGGCUCAUAACCUGGAGGCCGGGGGUUCGAUUCCCCCUCUUGCAA
rnacentral:tRNA from 1 species